GGACACCCUGUAUAGUAGAGGCGAAGACAUCACAACUUAGUUCGCACUAGUCGCUGUGUUAGUAUAAAAAAUUCAUUUAAAAAAUUGAAAAGAAGAAAUAAUAUAUAACCCCCAUUUUAUUUUUUGGAUUCGGUUUAUAUACAUACUGAAUGAAUUUUAAUUUUCAUUGUUUGCAAACUAGUAACGGAACAUUAAACGAUUACAUGAAAAAAUAUUCGAUUUACAAGUAUCUUUUGACCUUUUUUUUUGUAAUAAUUGAAUUAACACAUUUUAGUCAACAUAAAUUGUUUUUGGACAAUGCAUACAUAAUUUUAUUAUAAUUCAACGAUAUGGAUUUAAUGUUUACCAGUGGCGUCGUUAUUUAGUUUAAACUGAAAAUAUGUAACCAUUUUCUUAAAACCAAUUUUAGAAAAUUUUGAAUAAUUAUUCAGAAAUCAUCCCCUACCCUCUAUCGACUUGGGGUUGUGAGGUGUAAUAAAGAAAAGUGUACUAAACACAAAAAAAAUUAUUACAGCUGUCGGUCAUCCCUUGUUAAAAAAAUAGAGUUAAAUCAAUAAUUUUGAAACGUCUAUGUUUAAGAAGUUGUCGGUCAAUACAAUACUUAAAUCAAUAACAACAACAACAAAACAAUUUUAAUCUACAUGUAAUAUUUGUGGUCAAUAAUUUGAUACGUUGCCGUAAUUAUAAAAGAAUGUAGGCAAUUGCAUCUUUAACUAUGUUUUUUAUUAUUAAAAUGACGUUUAUGAAGAAUAUCAAACUGUAAGAGUGAGAAAAUGCAACAUCGCAUGCUAUUAUAGUCUAUUUUUUUAUAUACGAGAAAGUAAUAAAACAUAAUUUGUAUGCAAAACUUAGUACCGUCAUUCUAAAUAUGAAAAUACUGGUAUUUGGUUUUUAUUGAUCUUUUCUAACCUGUAUAGAACAAUAUAAAAAAGAAGAAGAAAAAAUAUCACCUGAAAUACGAUUUUCAUUUAGAUAGGACUAUAGAUCGAGUAUAUAAUCUUAGGAUAGGGCGUCCAAAUUGUUACAACUUACAAGGUGCAGUCUACAGUUUAUUGUGAAUUCUUGUGUGAUUACGGAAAAUUUAGAAAUAUCGUGUACAGACUUGACAGUCUUCCAACAGUUAUUAGGGAAACGUUAAUAUUUAACUGUUUUAAAUCACCUACAAACAAAUAUUUAUUAGCAGCGAGUUUGGAAUAGUACGUAAAGCUCCACGAAAACCAAAGUUUCUAAUAGAAAACAUUUGAAAAAAGAUUUGGAAGGUUGUGAAUUGAGUUACUUAACUAGAGAUUUUUUUGAGUACUUGGAACAAAAGUUCACGAUGGGACAGAAAAAGGAAAAUCAGUUGAAAAAAAAUCACCCUAGUAAACCGUAUGUUGAGUAUGAGUAUCACCAACGAAUUAUCUCACCACUCCUGAUAGGAACCAUUAGGAUCUGUUAAUCACAUAGUUAGGUGAUUCAAAGUGUCCCUAAUUCAUGACUAUGCACUCAAACCCCAUUAACAUACCAUAAUUAAUUUUUAUCUUAUAUUAAUGUGACUUUAAAAGACCAUAAAUCUCAUUAUUUACUAAUUUUAUAAUUCUUUAUAGUUAUUAUUGUAUAUGAUACGAUUUAGUAUUUAAGGCAGUUUGUACACUCAUACUAGGUUUUCAUUAAUUCGAUAUUUUAUAGGUUUAUUAAUGUUUUUUGCUUAAUAAUUUGUUUUUUUACAAAGUUAUGAACCAAAUUUUACGAUGGGACUGAAAAAAAAACACCCUAGUAAACAGUAUGUUAAUUAUUAAUAUCACCAACGAAUUAUCUCACCAUUCCUGAUGGGGACUAUAUAUUAAGUUAUACAAUGUGUCUCUUUUUUUUGUUCCAUUAAAAUAUCGUCUCGGAUUACCUAAUUUUUGUCUUAUAUUAAUGUCACUGUGAGGAUUCAUACUUAUUUGACUUCUAAUUACUAUCUAUUGUAUUCGUUAAGAUUUAUUGUAAAUUAACCGUCCCCUGACGGGAACCGUAGUUAAGCGAUUCCAAGUGUCCUUAGACACUGGAAGUUCCAUUAACAUAUGUAUUGUAUUGAUGUGGCUCUAACGACCAUAAAAAUUAAUUAUAGCUUUCGUAUACAAUAGGAUUAGCAUUUAAGAGAGUAUAUACACGCAUAGUGUGUUCUAUAUAGUUUUAACAAAGUUGUGAAUUGAGUUAUUUAACUAACGAUUAGAAAAAUUCCAACUGUCUACUAAACACGUCUGUGGAUUAUGAAUACUUCAUUAUUUAAGUACUCUCUCAUCCAUAAAAAUAAACUAUAUAACGAAAUCAAUAAAAAAAUUAUAUAUACAAAAGCACGUCUUAAAAUAUCGAGAAAAUGAUCAAAUUAAAUGCGUUUAUAAUUUAUUAAAAAUAUUACCUGUUGUAUAAUUUGAUUAUUUCUCUUAAUAUCAUUAUCCGGCAGAGAAAUGAACUUCCCAUUUAUUUUUUGUAAUACGUUCUCCAAAUUAUUUUCUGAUUUCGACAUAUUGAAAAAUCACGCGCAAAAGUAACCACUACACUUUCAAAAAACAAAGUAUCAGGUACUUUUAUAAUUAAAAAAUAAUCUAAAAAAGAUAAUAAUAAUUUUAACACCUACCUGAAAUAAUUAAAAUGCAUUAGAUAAUUCAUAUGUUUUCCUGAUAAUUCUGUCGAGAUAACACGUUGUUUAUAACCCACAUUGUAUUCAAAUAGGAACACUUGCAAAACUGCAACAUAAUCAUUUCUAAAAUAUAUCCAAAUCAACAAUUUUUGUAUGUGUUAGGUACCUAAGACUUUGUGGAGACUUAUAAAAGGUCUUUGCUUUAUAUUUCAUAAGAUAAUUAAUAAAAAUAAUAAAGAUGUUUAAAACUGAGGGUUGUGCCUAAAUAAACAAUACAACUAAGAGUUUUGUUUAGAAUUUUUUGUUAAUUUUCAUUACAGAUAUUUGAUUGUUAUUAAAAAUGUUGCUCUCUAUGAAAA